AAUACAAAGGGCUGUGGAAGCUCAAUGGGCUGCCUUUGCUCAUUAGAAGCAGGGAGCUCUCUUCUUCUUCCCCUGGAUCCUUCCUUUAAAAUAGUUUCUUUUGUCUUAAGUUUUCAUUUCUACGUUUGUCCCUUCAUUCAGUCUCUUAAAUGACGGUCUCAAGCAGUAACAGUAGUAAUUGCUGUAAUGACGGUCUCAAGUAGUAACCAGGGCACUCUGCCACAAGUGGCACCUGAACAGGGACUAACAGGGACUAUCAAGAACAAACGGAGACCUGAAGAGACCUGAAGGGAACUGAAGAGGUCUGCAGGGACAAAUAGAGAUAAGUAGGGAUAAAUAGAGAUAAAUAGAGACAAAUAGAGAUAGGUAAGGAAUGACAGGGACUUGCAGGAAGUAACAGGGACCAUAGGGACAGAUAGGGAUAGAUAAAGACUAGCAAAGACUAGCCGAGAUUAGCAAAGACCAGCAAGGACUAGCAGAGACUAGCAAAGACUAGCAGAAACUUGCAGGGACAGGCAGAGACAGAUAGGGACAGAUAGGGUCCUACAGGGACUUGAACGAGGAAGAUCUGCUGGAAAAGAAAAGAACUACAACCAACCAGAUGAACAAGAAACCCUGUUACAAGUCUGCUGGCAGCAACAUAAGUGACACAAAGUGAACCGGGUUCUAUAAAUUACCAUGGAAAGUGGUGAGCCAACGAUUUGGCAGAACAAAACCCUGAGGAUAUGCAAACAAAAGGGACUAUGGAAUUUGCAAUUGCAGAUUAAAAUUGAAGAAGAAAACAUUUGAGUUGCAAAUACCGUAUUAAAAGUGGACACUGCUUAUGACUGCUGUAUGCAACAGUUUUUCAGGCCCGAGAGGAACCCAGACAUGCUCUAUUUGCAAACCGACUGCAUGAAACAAAAAGCACGGUAAUUCUGAAGCUGUUGGCUUGGAUGAAAUGAGAAUGUAAUUAAAAAGAAAAAGGUUAGCAAAAGAACAUGCUGGGAAUUGAAAAUAAAAAUCUGAAAUGAUGUCCCAGCCUGCCCUUAAGGUCUUUUCCACCAUGUAGAGAGCUACCUCAAAUGCUCUACUUGUCCCAGAGUCUAUGUUCUUUCACUACUAUUGCCUAUAUCUGUGUUUUCUGCUUUCAAUAAUCUAUUGAAAUAAUCAAAAUUAAUUACAUUCAGCAUUUUUUCUGUAUUACUCUGAUUCUAAUAAUUACCUCAAAUUUAUUUGUGCAUUUCUAUACUAGAAAGAAAAAAUAAUUUUUAGAGUUUUACUAUAUCUUCCCCUUAAUUCUAAGUUGCUUGUCACUAAUUCCUUUCCCAACACUAUGUUAUUUCCACCAAGAACAUUACCAAUAUCUUCAGGAAAAUUCCACCCCAUAUUUUAAGCCAGAUUGAUUAUUGGGAAUAUAAAUACAUUUAAGAAGGAAAGUCUUUUUGACUGUGUUUCUCCACAGACCAAUAGUAUACAAAACACAGAAGGCUUUUAAGCACAUUUCAUAGGGAUCACUGACUUAGAACAGAAGGAACCAUUUCGUGAAACACUCUCAUUUUGCACAUAAAGGAGCUGUGGCCCACAGAGGAAUAUGAUUUACUGAGAGUGACCCAGUUAGUGGCCAUAAACCAAAAGCCCCAAGAUGCUAAAUGUUUGUUAUGAAGAGUAAAAAUCCUCCCAGUUUAUAAGAAGUAACUUCAUCCUUCCAUUUUCUAUUUCCACGAUGACUCCCCUGGCUUAAAUUUUAAUCUCUAUUUUGGAUGACUCCAAAAUCUCAUUCUUCUAAAUUAAUUAUCUAAUACCACAAUGUUGCACUUAUCUUCCUACAAAUCUACUUUCAUCUGCCUUGACAAAGCCAACCCUAAUUUUCUCUAGUCCUCAUUAGAAAUUAUUGCAACAAAAAUUCACAUCCAGUCUGAAGUUUGGGAGCCAGAAAAGAAUUUUCCCAUUAAGAUGAGACAGUAUCAAUUAUUAAGCAGAGGAAGACACAAGAGGGAAAGCAGCUUUCACAUGAAAAAAAAAGAACUCUGAUUUUCUGACACAUUUUGUCAUUGCAGUCAAACUUUCAGAGUUAGAACUAGAGACCUAGAUAUUAGCUAACCCAGCAUUUUCCAAGUAUUCCUCGGAACUCUAGAGGCACAGCAUAGUACUGGUAAUGAUUUUGUGGCAGGAUAGAUUAAGGAAACCUCACAGUUAUACCAAGUUAAAUUCAUUUAUUUCAUGUAAAAUUCUGAUAGCCUUUUAUGCUACUAGGCCUAGUGAUACUCCAAAAUUAUUGGCCAUAUAUCUGAAAUUUAUUUCAGCAAGAAACCCUUUAAAGAGCAUCCCGCAGAGUUAGUGUUUUGAGGGAUAUCAUUGGGGAAAAUGCUGAUCUAGACCAAUUCAACAAAUUGUAACUUAGUUAACACCAGAGUCAAAACAAAAACCAAGUCUACUCAUGUCUGUCUUAGGCCCUUUUGGUCACAAAAACACGUUCAAACCACUUCAAUUAAGAAAAUGGUGAGAGGGGAAAAGACAAGCAGGGAACCUUAUCCCAGGUGGGCUGAUCACAGGACUUCCAAGGCUGUCCCUUAGAAGAGUCACGAUAAUGGCAUCUCUAGCACAAAACUCAAAUUUAGUUUUAAUUCUUAGUCGAAUAAUAAUACAGUAAAAUUUAUUGCAUGCAUAAGGAUAAUACAUUAAAACUACUUAAAUUACAUUUUAGGGCCGGGCGCGGUGGCUCACGCCUGUAAUCCCAGCACUUUGGGAGGCCGAGGCGGGUGGAUCACGAGGUCAGGAGAUCGAGACCAUCCCGGCUAAAAAACGGUGAAACCCCGUCUCUACUAAAAAU
rnacentral:lncRNA from 1 species